rnacentral:rRNA from 1 species
GAAAAGAAACUAACAAGGAUUCCCCUAGUAACGGCGAGUGAAGAGGGAAGAGCCCAAGAUUGAAAGCUGGCGUCUUCGGCGUCCGCAUUGUAAUCUCAAGAAGUGUUUUCCGCUUGGGACCAUGCCUAAGUCCCUUGGAAAAGGGCAUCAUAGAGGGUGAUAAUCCCGUACAUGGCAUGGAGCGCCCGAAGCUUUGUGAUACGCUUUCUAAGAGUCGAGUUGUUUGGGAAUGCAGCUCAAAAUGGGUGGUAAAUGCCAUCUAAGGCUAAAUAUUGGGGAGAGACCGAUAGCGAACAAGUACAGUGAUGGAAAGAUGAAAAGAACUUUGAAAAGAGAGUUAAACAGUACGUGAAAUUGCCAAAAGGGAAGGGUAGGAGGUCAGAGAUGCGUCUUGGAAUUCAGCCUUGCUUUUUCGCUUGGUGUUUUUUCCAAGUUUGCAGGCCAACGUCGGUUUUGGGCACUGGAGAAGGGUGGAAGGAACGUGGCACCUCUCGGGGUGUGUUAUAGCCUUCUACUGGAUACAGCGACCGAGACCGAGGACAGCAGCGUACUCGCAAGAGCGGGCCCUCGGGCACCUUUACGCUUAGGGCGUUGGCAUAAUGGCCCUCUACCAC